rnacentral:lncRNA from 1 species
UUUUUUUUUUUUUUUUUUUUCUGUCUUUUGUCUUUUUAGAGCCGCACCCACGGCAUAUAGAGGUUCCUAGGCUAGGGUUAGAAACGGAGCUGUAGCCACCAGCCUAUGCCAGAGCCACGGCAACGCCAGAUCCUUAACCCACUGAGCAAGGCCAGAGAUCGAACCCGCAACCUCAUGGUUCCUAGUCAGAUUCGUUUCUACUGUGCCACAAUGGGAACUCCUAGAAGACAUAUUUCUGAGCAGAAACAGUGUUUAUUAAUGCUGGUAGCAUAAUACUAUUUGGCUCUGUUUUAUUGCUCUUAGUUAUUAUGUCCUCUUUCCCUCAUUUCCUUAACCUUCUGUGCAAUUUAAAACAAAGAGCAAACAGUCUUCUGUAGGAGACAGGAUAGCACAUCAGAGACUGAAAGAUAUGUGAGUUGUUAUUUUUAUCACUUACUAACUUGUAAUACACAUUUCUUCCUGGUUACAAAUUUAUUACAUACAGGUUAUCAUUUGGGCAUGCUGUCUAAUAAAUAAGUUAUUACAUCGAUCUACCUUAAAAUAAGAGUAUUUCAGGAGUUGAUUUUAUAUUAGGAAGUGGAUGCCAAAAACUCCAUUAGGAAGAAGCCAGGACAUUAGUGUUUCUGCAGUUGUUGAUCAUCUUCUGCUGCUUCUCCUGCCAAGGUUCUGUCUGGCUGAGGAUCUCUGAGGGAGAUGAAGCUUCUGUGUAUGAGCUACCAAAUUAUAUAGGUCAGAUCAAAACUUGAAAUAUAACUUUCUUUAAUUGGAAAAAAAUGACAUUUAUAGUAUUUGCAGCCCAGUUUGAGCAGCCCCAUCUCUGAGCCACAGUUUUUCUUCUGUGACCUGCAAGGCCAAAGUGAGGGUCACACAGAAGUGUCUAAAUUAUAAGGAACCAUGAUAGAGGUAUUAUAUGGUAGAGAGGGAGUUUCCAUCAACAUGCAAUUGCUGAAAAAUAUUUUAAAUAAAUGCCCAAUAGGAGGACAUUUAUUUAUUUAUUUAUUUAUUUAUUAUUUUGCUUUUUAGGGCUGCACCCACUGCAUAUGGAGGUUCCCAGGCCAGGGGUUGAAUAGGAGAUGCAGCUGAUGGCCUAGCCACAGCCACAGCAAUGUGGGAUCCAAGACGUUUUUGUGACCUACACCACAGCUCAUGGCAACGUCAGAUCCUAACCCACUGAGCAAGGCCAGGGAUGGAACCCUCAUCCUCACGGAUCCUAGUUGGGAUCGUUAACCACUGAGCCACGAAGGGAACUCCCAGGAGGACAUUUAAAUAGGAAAAGUAAUUUUCCAUAUUCUCAAGUAGACUUUUAAAAUUAGAGCACUAUAUUGAAGUAUAAGUUGAUUUUUAAAAUUGAUGAUAUUUGAUAAUAUCAAAAUCUAUACAUUUUCUUUUCCUUUUUUUUCUUUUUUUUUGGUCUUUUGUCUUUUUAGGGCUGCAUCUGCAGCAUAUGGAGGUUCCCAGGCUAAGGGCCUAAUUGGAGCUGUUGCUAUCAGCCUAUGCCAUAGCCACAGCAAUGCCAGAUCUGAGCCACGUCUGCAACCUACACCACAGCUCAUGGCAACGCCAGAUCCUUAACCCACUGAACGAGACCAGGGAUUGAACCCGAAACCUCAUUGUUCCUAGUUGGAUUCCUUUUUGCUGCGCCAAGACGGGAACUCCAAAAUCUAUACAUUUUCAUAUCAAUUCAGUUCUCAGUUUUUUAUUUGACUAUCUGUGGUGGCUCAAGCUAAUCUUUCUGUUUCAGUGUGUAAACAACAUUUUAUUUUUAAAAAGGCAAUUCAUAUUUUUAACACAAGUUAAAAAAAUGAGGUUCCAAUAUUAUGACAUUAUAUAUAGUAAGCUGCUCUAGUUGAUAAUGUUAAUGGUACUAAGCUGUAAAUUCCUUCAAAACAAUACUAUUUUUUUUAAACUCAACAUAUACUCUAAUUUAAAACAUAAUCCUGAUAAUUCAACUCUAGGUCUUGAGAAACCUGUAAUUCCUGAGCCUUAUUUGCAUACUUAUAUUUUUUGAUUAAUGGAUUUAUGUAUGAUGAAAUUAUUUACAUUUUUAAAGAUUAUGUUUAAUGUGACUGCCCAGAGCAAAGGCGAUAAAAAACAAACAAACAAAGAAAAAACAAAACCUUUUUGGAGACUGUCAUGAAAACUUAUGGAACCCUAUAGAGAUGACACAGAUUUAAUUGUUUGGGAAAAAAGUUUUAGCCAAAUCUAGUUAUAUCAGGCAUCAGAAGAGUUAGAAAAAAUAUACAAGGCCAACCUAAACUUUUACUGCAUCCUUAAUUUUGUUUGAUAUUUUGUCAAGGAAAUUGUUACCAAUUCACACACUCAGUAACUAUUAUAUACAGGUGGUUUGCCUGUAGAUACAUGAACAUAUACACCUGAUUUGCAGCAUAGUGAUAUAAAAUACAUAUGUUGGCUACAUUCUCCUGAGUCUAAAUAUGUGAGAGGAAGAUUUGAUGAAUCACUUUAUACAAGCAUAACAAAAGCAUGGGUUUCUCCCGCAUGCCUCAUAUAUAGCAAAAGAGCAAAGAAUGUUCUGUCAAUUUGUGACCCCAUAAUUUUGCAGUCUUUUAUAAGGAAAUAAAUAUUGCAAUAAGAUAAUGUUGCUGUAAAUAAAUAGUUAAUGUUUCUGUUUCUACAGCAUAUAACAAUCUACUGCAUAGAUGCUGUUGAAUGAAAGGCACUGUUACAUUAUAUUUAAGAUAGUGUAAAUAAAUGUUGGAACUCGUAGAAGCAGGUUACACUGACUCACUCUAAAGGGUUUGCUGUGCACUCUGUACAAACACUUAUAAAAAAUGUAAAACUAGACUAACCAUAGAACUGCAAUGGAUUUGGACCCAUUUGCCUUGCUUAUGUAGAAAUUUACUUAUCACUGGAACUCUAUUUCUAAAGCUGGCACUUCGCUACUAAAAUGGGAUUUACAAACACUUUAAAAUUUAAGAUAAGAGCCUAUAAAUUCUCAUGACAUUCUUAAAACUAAUUUUCUUGGUAUUUAAGGAGCAAGCACAGCAAACCUACUGAAGUGAGUUAAAAUAAAUUUCCAUUUUGGUCCUAUGGCUUUACAUUUUUUGUACUCUGAAUGUGUGUGUGUGUGUGUCUGAUCCACUGUGAAGACGUUAACUGCUGGUAGCCGCAUUCAUUACUUAAGUCUGUUUAUGCAUUUGCCUAGAUUUUUAAAACAUUAUUUUUGCAGAUAGAUUUCAUCAGAUUGUAUGCUUACUGGUUUCACAGAUGGAGAGCUACGAUUCGUUCACAUUUAGAUAUUUCAAAAGUCUGUAUGUUACAAAACUGUCCGUGAUGUGACGGUCACAUUCAGCCUUUACCCACCUCCCUGAAAAAGAAAAAAGUCUUCUCAAAAUUCCUUUAAAGUAGAUCCAAUGAAUAUGAUAUUCUUAAAAAAAAUGGUCGGUGUCUGUCUGUAUAAUAACAUUACACCAGAACAUGAAUUCUAAGUAAAUGAGUUUCCUUCCACUCCCUAACCCAGUGGGGUAAUUUGAAAUUUUUAAAGGCAAAAGCCACAUGGUUUUACCUCCUACAGAUAAUAGGAGCUCUGCUUUCUCUUCCUAAGUGGAUGUUGCUGUGGAUUUCCAUCACCAGAAUCACUGUGGUGUCUAUAGCUUCAUAAAUCAUCAUCUUCAUCAGCUCGUCCACAUACACUCAUGUAAAUGAGCUCCUUGACAACUUAAUUUGGAAAAGAAAUCUUCAUUCUCUCUUCUUAAUGCCUAAGCAGGACUCCCCAGGGUUAGAAUGCUGCUUUGCACUGGAGCUGUCCUGGCAGAAGGGAAGCUGCUUAUUAAUGAGCACUCCCAGUCUUGCAACCUAACUUGUGUUACUUUUCCCUCACAAUGUUCAGGAAUGCUGACUUCCUUUUCAAAAUCCAUUUUAGGUGGCAAAAAAAAAUUGUUUGAGUUGAAUAUUGGCAAUAUAUUGGAACAUGCACCUCUUAUUUUGCCUAAGCAUCACUUUACUCAUGUGAAAAUAUCAUUUUACGCAUGUGAAAAUAUCAAUCUCUCAUACCUUCAAAGUCCAAUGGACUAUACAGUGUCUUAAUAUUUCCUUGGCUUUGUAUUACAAAUAAGAAUUUAUUGUGAUUCUGGGUGCACUGUUAUUAUGGAAUGAACUAAAAAUAAUAUCUAAAGUGUAACUAAAUUAACAAAAAAAUUGGCAAAUUCUUACUGCUAAAAUUCCUCAUUUGCUGUAUUUUUACAUGGCUCUUAAACAUGCUUACCAGCUUUAAAAUUAAUAUUCAAAUUAAUAUUUAUCUUUGAAUGGAUAACUUUUUUUCGCAGUCAUGUCACUGUUGCAUCAUAAAUAGUACACUUCCCAAAAGAAAUUAAUCACUGACAAACAACUUUAGGACAUGACAACAUGAUACUUUUUUCAUUUUGCCAAGCAUCGUGCCAAGAUAUCAGCAUAACUUUGUUCUGAAAUUGUAAACUGUUGGUGGAGAAAGCAAUUAUAUUACUUACAAAAAUGAUCUAUUGGGAAGAGGGUGUAGAUAUUUCCUUUUCAUUCCAAAACAUUUGCAGAUUGCUGCCUAGGGGCCACAGAAUGUGCUUAGGGAUAAUGAUAGAAAAAUAAAAACGUAAUCGGUGUGUGACAAGAGAGCUUCUAGGCCUGGAUGGAAAUGGUGUUCAAAACUAGCCUGGAGGAUAUCCAGUUAAACUGAUGGUGAAGCGGUGGCUGGGGUGGGUGUGGGAAGAACCUUAGACAUUUGAAUGCAUACUGACUACAGUUAAUAGUGUAAUUUCUAUUUUCAUAUAUGAGGCAGAGAAUGUAUUUGGCAUUGGCACUGAAUACUGAAUAUCAGUUGAUCUCCUGACUUGAAGGUCCCCCCAUUACCUUGGCUCCCUUGGUGAAAAUGAUUGGGUAUUUGGCAGAUGAAUGCCAGCAUAGAGCUCAUGAACAAAGCUUGGGAGUAUUAAAGUAGCCAGAUGCAAGGAACUGCCAUUGUUUGAAUACGUGAAGAUUAAACCACAAUAGUCCUU